UGCCAGCAGCCGCGGUAACACGGGGGGCGCAAGCGUUAUUCGGAAUUAUUGGGCGUAAAGGGUCUGUAGGCGGUUUAAUAAGUUGGAUGUGAAAGCCCAUGGCUUAACCAUGGAAUUGCGUUCAAAACUAUUAGACUAGAGUUUAGGAGAGGAAGAUGGAAUUCUUGGUGUAAGGGUGAAAUCUGCAGAUAUCAAGAAGAACACCAGUUGCGAAGGCGAUCUUCUGGUCUAAAACUGACGCUGAGAGACGAAAGCUAGGAUAGCGAACGGGAUUAGAUA
rnacentral:rRNA from 1 species